rnacentral:rRNA from 1 species
CCUUAUUGUUAGUUGCCAUCAUUUAGUUGGGCACUCUAGCGAGACUGCCGGUGACAAACCGGAGGAAGGUGGGGAAGACGUCAAAUCAUCAUGCCCCUUAUGACCUGGGCUACACACGUGCUACAAUGGGAAGUACACCGAGUCGCUAGACCGCGAGGUCAUGCAAAUCUCUUAAAGCUUCUCUCAGUUCGGAUUGCAGGCGGCACCUCGCCUGCAUGAAGCCGGAAUCG